CACUUAUAAAUGAGAAGAAUAAGAAAAGCACAUGAGAAGAAUUUAGAACUCCUCCAGCCCGUUGACAAAUUAUGUGUUUUGAUAACCCCCUCCAAAAAACAAACAAAACAACGACAAAAAAAACACACACACACAUAAUCAAUUGAAGAAUGGCCUCACAAAGAGACAAAAGAAUCACAUGUACUUCGCUCGGAACACAAACCAAAAGAGAUCCAAAACUUGACUCAGGCAAGCAGGCAUCUUAUUUACAAAUUCAAGAAGGCCAUAAUUAAUGGCUGCAUUGCCAUCAAGAGAAAACCCGCACCCUGACGACUACCAAGCACCCAGUAUCGAUGAUGAGUUUCGGAUUUGUUGCAUUCAAUGGACUGACUAUGUCAAUCAUCUGGUUCAAAACAGGGUACAGGUUCAACAAUACUGGAUUAGGGUAUGGAUUUAGACAAGAAUAUGGUGGCGCCGGAAAUUGGCCAUUAUCAAAGUCGAUGGAAGCUUCAUUAUUGAUGAUGACUGAAUCAGCACUGGGGAAUCGUACUCCGAAUUGGAACUUCAAUUAUAAAUAAUUGCAACUUCAAACUCGAACUAAAAAGACUCGCAACAUGACUUGGACUCGUAAAAAAUUACUUGUGACCAUCAUUGAUUCGAACAUUCAUUGCUUAAAAAUUCGCAAGCCAAAUUUUUUUCAACAAGUGUUUAUAAAAGUAAUGCUUAUUAAAGGAAAAAUAAGUUAUUUGUCUACGAAGAUAUCUUAAGUAUUAGAAAAUAAUUAAAAAUUGAAUCGUAUAAACAUGAUUAUGAAUAAGUAAUCUAAAAACAUAUUACAUAUAUUGUGUAUUUCGAUUUCAAACAAAUGGAGGAGUAAGCAUAAUUAUAAUUACAAAUUGUAAACACAGUUAAUGAAUAAGAUAUAUAUCAAAGUUGUACAUUAAAAAUAAAGUAAAAAAAUAUAUAUUGAAAAA
rnacentral:lncRNA from 1 species